rnacentral:rRNA from 1 species
AUUCCAGCUCCAAUAGCGUAUAUUAAAGUUGUUGCAGUUAAAAAGCUCGUAGUCGGAUUUCGGGUGCUGCCCGGUGUAGCCACGGCGAACGCCGGGUGGGGCCUUCCUUCUGGGAUUCCUCUGCACUCUUUACUGAGUCGGAUGGCGCUCCAGGACGUUUACUGUGAAAAAAUUAGAGUGUUUAAAGCAGGCGAUUGCCGUGAAUACAUUAGCAUGGGAUAAUAGAAUAGGACUUUGGAACUAUUUUGUUGGUUUGGGUUACGAAGUAAUGAUUAAUAGGGACGGUUGGGGGCAUUCGGAUUCCGCUGUCAGAGGUGAAAUUCUUAGAUUAGCGGAAGACGAACAGCUGCGAAAGCGUCUGCCAAGGACGUUUUCAUCA